GAUGAAGAACGUAGCGAAAUGCGAUAAGUAAUGAGAAUUGCAGAAUUCAGUGAAUCAUCGAAUCUUUGAACGCACAUUGCGCCCCUUGGUAUUCCGAGGGGCAUGCCUGUUCGAGCGUCAUUAUAACCCCUCAAGCUCAGCUUGGUGUUGGGGCCUGCUGCACUGGCAGCCCUUAAAAUCAGUGGCGGCGCCAUCUGGCUCUAAGCGUAGUAAUUCUUCUCGCUAUGGAGUCCUGGUGGAUGCUUGCCAUCAACCCCCAAUUUUUCUAUGGUUGACCUCGGAUCAGGUAGGGAUACCCGCUGAACUUAAGCAUAUCAAUAAGCGGAGGA
rnacentral:misc_RNA from 1 species